rnacentral:rRNA from 1 species
UACGAAGGGUGCAAACGUUGCUCGGAAUUAUUGGGCGUAAAGGGCUCGUAGGCGGUUUGUCGCGUCGGGAGUGAAAACCCAGGGCUUAACCCUGGGCCUGCUUCCGAUACGGGCAGACUAGAGGUAUGCAGGGGAGAACGGAAUUCCUGGUGUAGCGGUGAAAUGCGCAGAUAUCAGGAGGAACACCGGUGGCGAAGGCGGUUCUCUGGGCAUUACCUGACGCUGAGGAGCGAAAGUGUGGGGAGCGAACAGG